AAAGGGUAUGCAGUUUGGUCUUAUCAUUGAAUGUAGUGGAGGACCGACUGCAGACUGGUUUCUCUCCUCUCACUCGAUUCAAGUGCUCUACUUUGUCCCGUUAGAUCCACAGGGCACAGUUGAAAAAAAAACUUAGAAAAGAAGGGCACGGGCAUGGAGGAAAUGGACUUUGAGCGGCGUCGGGAGCUGAGAAGGCAGAAGCGGGAGGAGAUGCGCCUGGAGGCUGAACGACUGGCAAGGCACGAUGAUGAUGAAGAGGAGGCAGCCCGUGAGAGGAGGCGCCGAGCACGCCAGGAGAGGCUAAGGAACAGGGAGAGUGAGGAGCCCAGUGGACAGCCAGACAGUCUGGUUAUGACCAACAGCCACAGUGUGACAGAGACAGUGUCUGUGAGCAGCUCUUAUGGAGGUGGUGGAGAAGAUGAGGACCAGGUCCUGCUGGAUCGCAUGGCCAAACAAGAGGAGAGACGGCAGAGACGGAUGAAGGAGGCGCUGGAGAGACAGAAGCAGCUGGACCCCAAUAUGACGGAGGACAAUGACAGCGUUGCCACGGAGAAAAAUAACGAUGAAGAGGAGAGGCCCUCCUCCUGGCGUAGGGGUCGUUAUCAUGCUAAUGAGGAAGAACAGGAGAAGACAUCAAUGACAUCGCUCCUUCUCUCAAGGAGAGAGGAGAAGGAGCGAGAGGAGCCAAGUACGGCUGAAGAGGAAGCUACUCCUGAGGGCGGGGAGGAAGCAGAAGAGGGUGUAGAAGAAGAGGAACAAAAAUUGGAAGUGGUGGAAGACAAACUAAGAAGGUCUUACCUGAGAGAAAAGGUGAACGAGAGAGGUGGCCCCAGGGAGGACAGAGAGGAGGAGAGGAAGCAGAAUGGAGGGCUGCAUGAGGAGGCGGCUCCCAAACAGCAUAGGAAACCUGAGAGGACCAUCAGUCGUGGUGGUGUACGUUCCCCCGAGGUGUCCACUGGUGACGACCAAGACGACGCUGCCCACCUGGAGGCAGAGCGCAAGUUGGAGGAGCUGAAGCGUCGCCGUGAUGAUGCGGAGAGUGAGGAGUUUGAGCGGAUGAGGCAGAAACAGCAGGAGGCAGAGGCUGAACUGGAAGAGCUAAAGAGAAAGAGGGAGGAGAGAAGGAAGGUGCUAGAGGAGGAAGAACGACAGAGGAAGCAAGAGGAGGCUGAGAGAAAAGCCAAAGAGGAGGAGGAAAAGAGAAAGAUGAAGGAGGAGAUCGAAAAGAGGAGAGCAGAGGCAGCUGAGAAAAGACACAGGGUGGAAGACACUAUGGAUGAGGAGGACAAACCCUUCAAAUGUGUCAGCCCUCGAGGCUCCUCCCUGAAGAUUGGAGAGAGAGCAGAGUUCCUGAACAAGUCAGCACAGAAAAGCACAGUGAAGACGUCUCAUUCUCCUGUGGUGUCCAAGAUAGACAACAGGUUGGAGCAGUACACCUCAGCUGCUCAGAGAGAGACCAAAGAGCCUCGAUCCCCUCGCUCUGGAGCAGUGGAUCUGCCAAUGGUCACUGACAACAUACGAAACAUCAAGAGCAUGUGGGAGAAAGGGGACGUGUUUGGCUCUCCUGGUGGUGGUGGGAGCACGUUCAAGGAAGCAGCUGUGAUGAAGACAGGUGUGGCGGGUCGCAUCAACGACUGGCUGAAUAAAACUCCGGAGAGCGGCAAAACUCCAGGAGGAAGGCCAGCAGAUCUGAAGCCGGUUGAUGUCACCAACAAGAGGAGUCUAUGGGAAAACAAAGGGGCCACUUCAGCAAAGAACUCUCAUAGCUAAUUGACCUCAUCGUUAAAUCUGGAAUAAGGAUGGAGAGGUGGCAGGCAGAGGGGAGACCAAAUCAGUCACCAAUGGUAUGGGGCACUAAUGUCUUGACGGAACCACUAAAGCUGGAGACCUUGACAAUCCAAGAUGCUUCCUUGGCUUUGUCUUUAGAACCAAAUAAUGACCACACUUCUCUCAGAGGGGACCCAAGAAAAUAGAGGGACAGGAGAGAGUCUGUCCAAGCACUGUGCUGAACCAAGAUCACAUUUUUGUAUGGUUGCCAUUUAUAGUCCCUUUGCACAAUGAUUUUUUGCUUUCUAAAAGAAACACAAUGCUGUGAAAUUUGGACAAUUGUACUUACUAAUUACUUUAUACAGUCCUGCCAGGAAGAAAAGAACUAAUUAAAUUUAGAUAUAUCUACUGUUCUCCAUGCUGACAGUUUUGAUAGAGACAAAGUAGAUGAGUUAAGUUUCAACAUUCCAAAGAGAUGGGUAAAAUUAUUUCUCUCCCUCAUUCAGAUCAGUUCCCAUCUCUUUUUUAUUUAUAUUUAAAGCAGAAGCUUCACACAUUGCUAUUUUAUUCAGCAUUCACCAGUUCAGGAUAGAAAUAUAAGCACUUCUAGAAUUUAGCUGAUUUCACUUUUAUUAUCUUUUACUAAUACUGCAGCAUUGGUCUGAGUAAUAUAUGUUAGCACAUGUGAUGUUUUGAAUAUGACUUAUCAUACUGUACCUUAUAUAACAUCUUUAUACUCAUAACAAAAGGUUUUUGCUUUAUUGUAUCCUGAAACUAUUCAUCAACAGGCAGUUUAUUUUGGAGGCGAUAGGAGUGUUGUUAUGAUUUUAUUAGCCUUUACAUCAUUUUAUUUAUGUUUUGUUAUAUGUAUUUUGUCCUUUUUUCUAGCUGUUUUUGUAGUUUUUGUACCCCCCAUCCCGUUUUUUUCCGUGUAUAUUUAACAGCAAGUUAAUUGAUUGUUUGAUUGUUUGUCGCUUUAAAAUCUUAAAACAUUCCUCUUAAAAAGCAGGUGCCUUUGCUGCUUUAAAGCUGUAGUUUUUAUCUGUUUUAAGCUGCAAACAAACCUUUUUUAUGUUAUUUCUACUUUUUUUUUUUUUUUUUUUGCCUCUAUGCACACUCUUUUGCUCAGCGGUCUUUCUCAAUAUGAGGAAAAGUAAAAUCAGGGUGUGUAAGUAUAUAUCAAGAUACUAGUACAGUAUGAGGAUAUUUACCACUGCAGUUCUUCAGGCCAAUGACAACAUUUAUGACAGCUGAGGUACAGUACAUUAAAGCCUCAUAGCUAAGAUAUUAAGACUUAUUUAUUUCUCACCAACAUGGUCUUCGGUAGCACAUUCCCUUUCAGUGUGGUAUAUGCUUUGAAAAGAAUAUGAACCAGGGCAUUAAAUUGAUCAUGUUACUGCUCAAAAGUCUGACAAUCACAUUCCAUGGCUUCUAAACAGAGCAGGGGAGCUUGACCAAAACAUUUUAGUGUGAUUUAAUGUGACCUUUAUAUUUUUUUUCAAUACAGUGUCUGAUAUUGCAUAUUGUUGUUUUUUCUACAACUUUGUCUUUUUUAUGGUUGUCCUUUUAUUUCCAUGUUUAACCAGACACUUGUCAUUUGUGUAGUGCUAAGCCUAUGCAAAGUGCACUCCUUGUACUCUCGCUAAACCAGAGGUAAUUAACUAAAAUUUAAAGAGGUCCAUUUAGAGAAAAUUUCUUGAAGCAAAGGUCUGUAAGAUCAUAAUGUCUAACUAUUUAGUAUGAUAUAUAUUUAAGUAGCCUAGUAGUUGUAUCAACAUCUGCAUGUAAUCAAUACCUCACUGUCAAAUCAAAUUAAUUCAAAAACUUUGUGACAUUUAUUGUCACAUAAGAUAGAACUGAACAUAUAUGUAUGACUGUCAAUAUGUAUAAUGUUCUCUCAUUUACUAAAUAAAGGUAGGGCUGCAUUUCAAAAUAAGAGAAAAUAAAUCAAAUAUGAAAAUUGUGCAUGUUCAAAUAAAGUGCUUAACUUCAGAAAAAUAAAAUAGA